UUGCUUGUGGGUGACGUGAGAGCGGUCCCAGGGGACGCCUGGCUGAGUUGGUACAACUGGCGGGGUUCUGCAGUGGUUUGGAGUUUGGAAAAUCAGUGUGAUGGGACAGGAAGCAGAAGCGAAGGUCAAGCUGGAGUUGUGGCCUCAAUCAACAAAGAGUUGGAGCAGACACAUCUCGGACAUAGAAAAGGAUGGCUGAAGAAAUACAUCCAUCCAAUUCAGGCUGGGUACUCAGACAUUGGAAUAGAAGCUGUGAAAAUCAAGAAUAUCUGGAAUCUGAACACACAAGGAAGAACAGUGGAUUAGACACAGACACGGAAGAUUACAGUUCCACCUGUUCAGAGCCAGAUAUCUGGUGUGCUGGCUGUGCCAUCUGCUUUUCCUGCAGGACAUGUGGAGAAGAGAAGGAAAAUGAAUUACCUAGCCAUGCAAGGACAGCAUAAAACUAACUGAAAGGAUAUACUGGCUUUCGAAGAACAAUCUCUUUAGAAGCUCUCUGCAGUUUCAUCUAUCUUGCCUACUCUAGCCAGUUUCAUCGUGAACACACAAAUGUCAAAGGCUGUCCCAGGUUCAGGGAGGAUUAACUUAAAAGCUAGGCUUCUUAGGGCCACUUUUAAUUUAAGGAGACCCUGAUAUGUGCAGUUGGGACUCCUGGGAACGCUUUCAGUUAUUUAAGUGGCAUAAUACCUUGUUUAAAGAUGGAAGGCUUGCAUCAAAUUUGGCUGUGAAGUGCUGUGCGUGGUGUUUGAUACUACAGAUGUUCCAGGAGUGUCUCCUUGUGGCCUUCUGUGCUUGUUCCAGGGCAAGGUAUGUGCGAGCUCAGUGACUGAUUUGUCUCUUGCUUUCACAGGGAUCAAUAUAGACAAAUCAAUAAAGAUAACUGGAUCUG